AUUUCUUUUAGUCACAAACUUUUAUUUACUUUUCUGAUUGAAAAGGUUAUUAAGUUAUUUUAUUUGUUAACAAUCAAAAUCGAAAUUGGGAUAGAUAAUGUCUUCACAGUUAGCAGAGUUGACAUUUUGUACUGUGGAUACUCUGCAUGUUACUCUAUGUUUGUCUUCCAGCUCCAGUGUCAAAGCCAGCUGUGUCUCAGAUGUGUUUGUCACCAGAACAGAUGAACGUCAGCUGCUCCUCUGAGGGAGAUGAAGUGGAGUUCAUUUUGACCUCGAACAGUCUCUUACAGAAACGGACCAGAGACCACAGUCAGUCCCCGAGCAAAGGAACAUCAAAUAUGGAGCCACUGCCUGACAGUUUAGCUAAAAACAAAUCCAGUAUUUCAAAAGUAACCAUCAGCUUCUACGUUCAGUGGACAGGAAACUUCACUUGUCAUGUUUGGAACAAUGUCAGCCAAGAUGAAAGAGUUGUUCAAUUGAAAAACGUCAAAGAUUGUGCUUCUUCCUUCCCUGUUGCGACUGUUGCUGUGACCGCCAGUUUUGUGCUCACUCUCCUUCUCCUUGUGACGUUUUAUUGUACCAUGACAAAAAGCCACAACAAACCAAGAGCCAUAACCGUUAACGAGGGUAACCCUGAAGAUGAAAUAGUCUACUCAGAUGUUACGAUAAUAAAGAAUACAAGGAAAACCAGGUCUGACACAUAAGCUUCUCUUAAAACAGUCACACAUAUUUUGAACUGUAAAGUUAACCUUUCUGGGAGAACCUUUAGAUAAAUAAAAUAAUCACGUAUUGUUGGCUUUGUGGCUUUCCAAGAUUUCCAGCUGCAGACUGAUGUUUAUUGUGCAGUUAGGAUACUUGUCUAUAUUGCACUAUAUGUUUAUAUAUAGUUCUAAUUUCUCUUGAUUUCUGACUUAUCUAUAUUAAAACUUUGGAGUUGUUUUUAAACCAUUAAUGCAUUUACUUCUCAAAAAUGAACAUGUUCUUAUGUAGUUUUAUUUUUUGCCUUGUAAUUGAUCAUUUUUGGAAACAUCUGGAAACAAGUGUUUUGUGUUUUGCGUAUUUUUCAAAUAAACAUAUUGAUAACA
rnacentral:lncRNA from 1 species